AUUAGGAUUUGAUUAGGAUUUAAGGUUAGGAUUUGGUUAGGAUUUGGUUUAGGGUUUAGGAUUUGAUUAGGAUUAGGAUUUGGUUAGGAUUUAGUUUAGGAUGUAGGAUUUGGUUAGGAUUAGGGUUUGGUUAGGAUUUAGAGUUAGGAUUUGAUUAGGAUUUGAUUAAGAUUUGUUUAAGAUUUGAUUAGGGUUUGUUUAGGGUUUGGAAUUGAUUAGGAUUUGUUAGGGUUAAGAUUUGUCUAAGAUUUGAUUAGGAUAUGUUUAGGAUUUAGGAUUUGUCUAGGAUUUUAUUAAAGUUGGAUUAGGAUUAGAGUUUGGUUAGAAUUUAAGGUUUAUUUAGAUUUUUGUUAGGGUUUGACUAAGUUUUUUUUAAUAUUCUUUUAUAUUUUUUUAAGAUUUCCUUUUGUUUCUUUUAUAACUUCAAUAAAAUUUAAUUGAGCUUGCUUAAUAUUUGAUUAUGAUUGUUAAUAUUGAAUUAUAAUUUCUCUAUAAUCCUAUUGGAAUGUUAGGAUCUUUUGUUGUAAUUUUCUUUUACCUUCCACAACUAGGUGUCCGGUGCAUUCUCAAGCAAGACUUCACGUAAUACGACACCAUUCCAAGUCAGAUUUUGAUAACUGCCUUCAACUAGAAUCAUCGUAGCUCCCACAAUUAAAAAUUGAUUAUAAUGGCAUUCCUUUCAAACCUUGGCUCUAUUAAGGGAUGCGGACACCGUAACGAGUUGAGCUUCCUUCACAAAUAUUUUUAACUCUAGUGGUUGCAAACCAUUGAUUAAUAUGGAUAAGAUGAAUACCUCCAACAUUUGGUG
rnacentral:lncRNA from 1 species